rfam:Fibulorhizoctonia sp. CBS 109695 unplaced genomic scaffold FIBSPscaffold_183, whole genome shotgun sequence.
GGUUGUGUAGUGUAGUGGUCAUCACAUUCGGUUUUGAAGCCGCAUGAGCGAGCACAACCUCCGAUUAACCCAGGUUCGAACCCUGGCACGACCU